rnacentral:lncRNA from 1 species
GGGGGAGACAGGUUGUACCAGGCUCCUGCUUCCUGGAGGUCUGCCCAGGAGCUGCAUGUGAUCUUGCCCUUUCUUUCCCCUCUUGCCCCAAGAGAUGUCACCAGUCUGGGCCACAGCAGCUUGGGUGGGCUCAGGAGAGCUGUGCCUUGGUUUUACUGUGGCUGAUGGUCAUUCAUACCCUGGUCUUAUUUUAGCCAUUCCUGAUUUGACAGGUUUCUGGUCAGAAUUGCUGUGAGGAAAAGAGGAAUCCCUCCUCCAGCACGCUGCCAGGCGGUGGUGUUCAGAACCCUUCUGCAGACAGGAAUUUGCUGGACCUCCUCUCACCACAGCCAGCUCCGUGCCCUCUGAAUUAUGUUUCGCAGAAAAGUGUCCCCAAGGAAGUGCCACCAGGUACUAAGUCCUCUCCAGGUUGGUCCUGGGAGGCUGGCCCGUUGGCUCCUUCCCCAUCUUCACAGAAUACACCUCUGGCUCAAGUGUUUGUCCCUUUGGAGUCUGUUAAGCCCAGCAGCCUGCCGCCUCUCAUUGUGUAUGACCGGAAUGGAUUCAGAAUUCUGCUCCACUUCUCCCAGACGGGAGCCCCUGGGCACCCAGAGGUACAGGUGCUGCUCUUGACCAUGAUGAGCACGGCUCCCCAGCCUGUCUGGGAUAUCAUGUUUCAAGUGGCUGU